UAAUUUGACAUUAUUACAAAGUGCUCUUUUUAAAAGUGUACUUAUGUGCGUUUAGAAACAGUCAUUAGAGUGAGACACGAGCCAAUCAGAUUGCAGCAUUAGCGGUCGCCCAGCGCCGUGGAACGAUCCAAUUCUGCCCGGCUCUGCCGAAACAUCUCACCCACAAAUACCGAGGAUGGGAUCUCAGGUGGAGGAGAAGCUCCAGGUCCAGACAGAUCCCAUUCGCUCACGGAAGCUGAAAGAGUCCGGUCGACAGAACUCGUCCGACAGCGGCAUCGCGACCGGCAGCCACUCGUCCUGUACGGGAAGCUUCUCGUCCUACAGCCGGAGUCUGGAUGCUGCCGGUCCGGGAGAGGAAUACAGGGCACUGUUUAACCUGCCAGAGAAACACCUGUGCACAUGCUCAACCUGUCCCGUCCACGAAUACCAGGUUCCCUCGUCCCUGCGGUUCCUGUACGACUCUCCCCACAGCCUGCUGGAGGUCAGCAGACACAGCAGCUCACCUCAAGAUGAGACCGGACUUAUAGAGCCCAGUUCGGAAUCUUCCAGCCAAUCAGAUUCAGAGCUUCAUAAAGGGGAGGAGUCACAGAUGAGGGAGUGUCAGGGAUUUUCCUGUAGUAAAAGCUGCUGUGAUUGGACGAUCUGUUCAGUUCCUCCUGCUGGGAUGAAAUCACUCUUCACCACUUGCCCCGUCUGCGGAGGACUCAAGGGCACAUUUCCACCUCAUCCUGGAGGGACUUCACUGCCCGCUGUGCCAGUGCCAGGUGGACAUUCAGCCACGCCCACUGCUGAUGUCACCGAACCACCCACCAAUCAGGAGCCAGAGGAGAUCAGACACUCGUCUUCGACCAAUCAGGAUCCAUGGAGGCCCUUAUCUGAACGCUUACAGCCCAAUGAGGUCUACGACUCCAGUCUGUCUGAUCUCCCGUCACACUACAGUCCUGCUGCGAGAGCGGACAGAAGCAGCGUCUACGAGGCCAUGGCAGCGUCCAGACACACCGUCCUGUACGAGAACUGCGUCCAGUGCAGGAGAGGAGAGGACAGCUGCCAGCUCCUCAGACCUGCUCCUCCAUCCAGAGACGUGUUUGUCCAGGAACUGAGGAGAAACAUCCCAGAGUCCUCCUGCUCCUCCGCAGUCUCUCUGCAACGAAUACCUGAAGAAGAUAACAGAGAGAGAAUAUGUGCAGAGAAAGGAAGAAUGGAUCCUGCCUAUGAGAUCAUGGACAGCCGAUCAUCAGACAGGAGCCCAGAGGAGGAGCGCAGCAGGUACGAGCUCAUGAAGAUUUCUCCUCAUCUGACUGAAGUGCUGACAGACAGACUCAGAGGAGACACGGUGACAUACGUGAAUAUUCCCACCAGCCCCACGUCCAAAAAACAGCUGCAUUACAUGGAACUGGAGCUGCAGGAGUCCANCCAGCGCCGCCGUCAGAGGUAAAAGCUCCAGUAAAUACGCUCAGAUUGACAUCACAGCGAUGGAGGCGGCUCACAGAGCGGGUUCCCAGCAUGCACUGGGGAGAGAGGAAGGCCUACAGAGACUGGAGCAGCAGAGGAGACGACAAGGACUUCCUCACACUGAAGAUCGACUCUUCUCUUGACAAACUGACCAAAACACUUGCAUCA
ensembl:lncRNA